ensembl:lncRNA
AUUGCAAAAGAAAUGAGUGCUGUGCUCUGCACGAGGGAUUAUGUGGGAAGCAGGCUCACAAAACAACAGCCUAGAUUCAUAUUUAAGUGAGAAUGCCUCCUAAAUAAUCAUUAGUUGCAGUGAUACUGGAAACACAGCUGUCAUCAUAGAAUGGCCUGGGUUGAAAAGGACCACAAUGAUCAUCGAGUUUCAACCCCCCUGCUAUGUGCAGGGUCGCCAACCACUAGACCGGGCUGCCCAGAGCCACAUCCAGCCUGGCCAUGAAUGCCUGUUGAUUUUAUUGCUAGUAGGUGGGACGGAGGUUGCCUGCUAAAGGAUGUGCCUUUUUUUUUUACAGACAAAUAUGAAGCUGAUCAUUAUUUUUUCAUCUCAUGUAAGCCAAUGUAAUUGAAAAUAUUCUGCAUUUUUAACACUUUUUCUUUCUUUUUCUUUCUUUCUUUUUUUUUUUUUUCUUUGCAUUGAAUGUUGAAGAAUAAGUCAGGAACAUGGCUGUCAUCCAACUUCUACAGCAAGAAAUCCAAACUACAGAAGUAUAGCUGAAAAGGCCAAAAACGCCAUCUAUGAGAAUGCGAACUUCCAGGGAUCCUCCAAAGAAUUAGCCAGUGACACUGCCAAUCUGAACGAUGUGCAUUGGAAUGGCCGUCUCCUCAGUAAAAGUAAUAGAACAGCUUUGGGUGGCUUAUGAGCACUUCAGCUAUGCAGGCCAGGUAUUGGUAUUUGAGGAAGGGCAACAUAGAUUUGCUGGUGAACAGUUAAAUGACAAGAUCACUUUCCUGCACAUGAUCUGCAGAUCUGCAGAUCAGUCUAUGAACAUGCUCAGUAUUGAGGGAAGAGUAGGGUGAUAACAGAAACAACCAGCCUGGGUUGGGGACAUGCCACUGACAUUGUCACCAAGUCCAGAGAGGUGCACAGCCGUUGUAUGAACACAGAGACGUGAUUUAUGCUAGAUUGCAUGAGAAUAUGAACACCUUCCAUGUUACAACACAAUUUCAAUGACAAGCUUCCAUUUAUACAUCUACUUCUGCCACAGGCAGAUUAAGUAGCUGGUGUGCCAAGCAGUGACAGAGGCUAUAACCACCGAAAGCAAGCAAGGUAUCCCAGCAAGCCUAUCUUCACCACUUCCAUGGACAUCACUGGAUACAAAGGACACCUUUCAUGGGUCAAAUAGGCAAAUGGGAUGAGGACAAGGAGGGCGCUGAAGAAACUUUGUGUGUUGCACACCACAGAUGUGCUCUGAGGACCACCCACUGCUCAGUGUUCCUUCAGGAUUGUGACUGUGUUUCUAUUCUUUACCUCCAAAAGAAUACACUAAAAACUACAUGACAGACUAAGUUUCAAUAUAAUUUGAAUUAUUAAUUUCAUUUGCAUAUGAAAUAUGCAAGGCUUUAUUACAGAUGUAGGCUCACUGUUUCAGGAACUGUUUUGACAUGUACAGGCUUAUCUGGAGAAUUUGGAGUUGCAGUUCCAAAUGACACUGCUAAAUGGCAUCUGCGCUCUGAGCCAUACUGUAGAAGUUGUUGUGCAGCUCUGCAUUUUAAAUCUCAUCCGUCUCAGUGCUGAGAUCCUGCUCUUGCAUUCAUAGCUGGACACAGAGCCUAUAAGCAUGCAGGGUGAUCGGCUGCUGGGCUUUGACCUGUUUAAAAACAAACACAGCAGGAUCUUUUGACGUGUCAGCACUCUGUGGUCCUUUCCAAGGCUCAUGGAGGUAGAUGCAAAGAUGACAAUUCAGGCUUCAUGUGGUAUAGGACACUUCUUACUAAUAUGUGCUCAAUUUCUGAUUUUCUUGCUUUAUUCAUCACAGGUCUUCUAAAAGGGUUUCAAGAUUCAAGUGAGAGAACUCUGAGUAUCAUCCUUACUAUAGGCCAAAAUAACUAGGACAGUAUGAAGCCAGCUGUGCCAAAAGGAAGAAGUGUUACCAUGAGACAGAGGGGAAGGAUCUAACAUUGGUGUGUUCAAAUGCAGACUGUGGCAGUGGUGCGAGUGUACUGUGCGUGGUGUUCUCAGCCUGCUCAGUAAGGCAGAUCAGUCUGGCUGUAUCAUCACUGUUAGGUUUCUUCCAGAGGGCCUAAGCACAACACUUCGUGCAAUAUAUAAGAAAACUGCAGAACAUCAAUGCAUGUAAUGUUUUUAAUCCUGUUACUAAUGUAACUUUCCAUUAUUAAUACCUUUUGGAGUAACAAAUCUAGGUGGCCGAGGUCAUCAUCUUCUGUCCAAACAAAUCUGCAAAAUAAAUGAUGUUGGAAAUCCU